UAGACCAGGGUGUCCAGAGGCUCGACUAUAGGGUUCCUUCUUCUCCACCAUGGCACUUCAGGCUCCCUUGGCACUUCUCUUUUGGGAAAAUAAAUUGCUUCUGGAUUAGACAUCUUUCUGCAAUAUUUGGCUUAACAGAGGUCAAAGACUGUGAUGGCUACAGCAGAAGCCUUAUGAGAUCUCCAGACUCCUGCACACUCAAUUAGAACAAAGCAACUCCAUAAACUAGAAAACCUGAAGAAAAAUGGCACAUGUA
rnacentral:lncRNA from 1 species